rnacentral:rRNA from 1 species
CAUGGCUGUCGUCAGCUCGUGUCGUGAGAUGUUGGGUUAAGUCCGUAACGAGCGCAACCCUUGUCCUUAGUUACCAGCACGUUAUGGUGGGCACUCUAAGGAGACUGCCGGUGACAAACCGGAGGAAGGUGGGGAUGACGUCAAGUCAUCAUGGCCCCUACGGCCUGGGCUACACACGUGCUACAAUGGUCGGUACAAAGGGUUGCCAAGCCGCGAGGUGGAGCUAAUCCCAUAAAACCGAUCGUAGUCCGGAUCGCAGUCUGCAACUCGACUGCGUGAAGUCGGAAUCGCUAGUAAUCGUGAAUCAGAAUGUCACGGUGAAUACGUUCCCGGGCCUU